rnacentral:rRNA from 8 species
AAUCCAUAGGUUAAUGAGGCGAACCGGGGGAACUGAAACAUCUAAGUACCCCGAGGAAAAGAAAUCAACCGAGAUUCCCCCAGUAGCGGCGAGCGAACGGGGAGGAGCCCAGAGCCUGAAUCAGCAUGUGUGUUAGUGGAAGCGUCUGGAAAGGCGCGCGAUACAGGGUGACAGCCCCGUACACAAAAGCGCAUGUGCUGUGAGCUCGAUGAGUAGGGCGGGACACGUGGUAUCCUGUCUGAAUAUGGGGGGACCAUCCUCCAAGGCUAAAUACUCCUGACUGACCGAUAGUGAACCAGUACCGUGAGGGAAAGGCGAAAAGAACCCCGGCGAGGGGAGUGAAAAAGAACCUGAAACCGUGUACGUACAAGCAGUGGGAGCACAGGUUUACCUGUGUGACUGCGUACCUUUUGUAUAAUGGGUCAGCGACUUAUAUUCUGUAGCAAGGUUAACCGAAUAGGGGAGCCGGAGGGAAACCGAGUCUUAAUUGGGCGUUAAGUUGCAGGGUAUAGACCCGAAACCCGGUGAUCUAGCCAUGGGCAGGUUGAAGGUUGGGUAACACUAACUGGAGGACCGAACCGACUAAUGUUGAAAAAUUAGCGGAUGACCUGUGGCUGGGGGUGAAAGGCCAAUCAAACCGGGAGAUAGCUGGUUCUCCCCGAAAGCUAUUUAGGUAGCGCCUCGUGAAUUCAUCUCCGGGGGUAGAGCACUGUUUCGGCUAGGGGGCCAUCCCGGCUUACCAACCCGAUGCAAACUGCGAAUACCGGAGAAUGUUAUCACGGGAGACACACGGCGGGUGCUAACGUCCGUCGUGAAGAGGGAAACAACCCAGACCGCCAGCUAAGGUCCCAAAGUCAUGGUUAAGUGGGAAACGAUGUGGGAAGGCCCAGACAGCCAGGAUGUUGGCUUAGAAGCAGCCAUCAUUUAAAGAAAGCGUAAUAGCUCACUGGUCGAGUCGGCCUGCGCGGAAGAUGUAACGGGGCUAAACCAUG